rnacentral:misc_RNA from 1 species
GCUGUGGCUGUGGCUGUGGCUGUGAGAUGAGCUGUAGAUGCUUUGAAGGGAUUAUUAUAGGUGGUGGGCUUAUGGGAUCUUGUGAGUGCAGAGUUUGAUUCAAUGAUUUGCCUAAGGAUUGGAAUGGAAGAAUCUGCUGGUGCAAUGCAAUGGUGGGGGAGCAGACGGGUUUAACAAGGUCAAACACGUGUUUUCUUUCAAUCCGGUUUAGGGUAUUUUAUUUUGGUCUAU